rnacentral:rRNA from 1 species
GACGAACGCUGGCGGCGUGCUUAACACAUGCAAGUCGAACGGAAGGGCCCUGCUUUUGUGGGGUGCUCGAGUGGCGAACGGGUGAGUAACACGUGAGUAACCUGCCCUUGACUUUGGGAUAACUUCAGGAAACUGGGGCUAAUACCGGAUAGGAGCUCCUGCUGCAUGGUGGGGGUUGGAAAGUUUCGGCGGUUGGGGAUGGACUCGCGGCUUAUCAGCUUGUUGGUGGGGUAGUGGCUUACCAAGGCUUUGACGGGUAGCCGGCCUGAGAGGGUGACCGGCCACAUUGGGACUGAGAUACGGCCCAGACUCCUACGGGAGGCAGCAGUGGGGAAUAUUGCACAAUGGGCGGAAGCCUGAUGCAGCAACGCCGCGGGCGGGAUGACGGCCUUCGAGUUGUAAACCGCUUUCGCCUGAGACGAAGCGUGAGUGACGGUAAUGGGUAAAGAAGCACCGGCUAACUACGUG